rfam:Felis catus isolate Cinnamon breed Abyssinian chromosome C2, whole genome shotgun sequence.
GCCUGGGUGGCUCAGUCGGUUGAGCAUCCGACUUCAGCGCAGGUCAUGAUCUCACAGCUUGUGGGUUCGAGCCCCACGUUGGGCU